rnacentral:lncRNA from 1 species
AUAACAUUAAGAAUUAUAAGAACUUAGUUCUUGCCAUCAAAUUCAACCGCGUGAACUGCUCAAGUAGAUUAUUUAUUCUUCUUAAUUCAAAACUAAAUUACCACUGAACGUUGUAAUAUCUUAAAUAAUUAUGGGUUUAGAAUAUUUUAGCUGGGAGGAUGCUGCAGUGUUACUCACCUACCAGGCCCUGUUCAAACAGUAAACGACAAUAAUGAUUAUAUAUGCAGAAAAACAAAUAAAUACUGAUAUUUAAUGGAACCAAAAUUUAAAGCAUUUAGAUCUCACAAUAAAAUUGGAGUUUGCUAAGUCCAUAACAUGGAAAAACAAAGUUCUCAGCUGCUCAUGGUGGGUUUAAUUAGACAGUUAUGUUCUUAUGAUUGCUGGGAAGAAAAGAAGAAAAGAAAAAAAUCUCAGAAGAAUCUAUGCUUUUGUGUGUGGCAGCCAAGAUCCUUUCUCCUUCGACUUCCUGCUCUUUUUAAACCCAAGAGGAUUAGGGUUUCUUGUUUGGACCUGAAUCUUUUUCAGGGUUUUUCAGCUCCUUUUUAGCUUCUCAGAAAUCAUCAUCUCCAUAACUUUCAGUUUCCUCUUUAGGCUGCAAUGGGAUUUUUUUUGUAAUUUCAUAUGUGCACCUUUUAUGUUUUGAACCAGUUAUACUCGACUAAGCUUUGGCCAAGGCUUAGUCAAUUAUAACUCGGCAUUUGUCUGGCUAUCAUGACAUUAGUUGUGCCCAAGGGUUAAUCGCGUAUUGGCUCGCUUAUAUUUUUACAAAAGUGUAAGCCUUGCCUGUGGCUUAGUGGUGCGCUCUUGAGAUCUAUAGUACCUUUUGAUGCAUUAGCCUUCUUGAGGUUUAAUUGUGCGUGCCAAAAUCUACUAUUGCUAUAGGAUCUAAGCCUUGCCAGAGGCUUAUAACAUGACUGACUGUUGUUCUACAAACCCUUAUAUUUUUAUGCUGUUAUUUCUGACUUUGGGCACUAUAUCCUAUCCUGCGUCAAAAUAAAAAAAGUAGGUCAAAUCAUAUAAUAUGUUAUUCAAUGAAGCACUAAAAAAUGGACAAUAGAAAUGUUGUUUUCACAUAUUAUCAAAUUCCCCCACACUUACCUUGUGCUUGCCCUCAAGCACCACACAAUACACACCACCAAUCCUCAUCUCUUCACCUUCAACUCAUCCAUUCCUAGUUAUUUUCAUCACAACUCGCAUAUUUACAUCUCAACCAUCGAGUUGUAAAAAUAACCAUCAAUUAGUAGUUUGUAGGCUUAAGUUUCAUGGAACCACACCAACGAACAAGUACUUUGACUAAUACCCAAACACAACAUGAGAGAGUUUUGUAAUUUUUAGUACACAAAAAUUUCAUUAAAAGGAAUAACCAAUAUGUAGUAGAUCAACUACCUAACUUUUUCAGACAUAGAAUUUUCAUACAAUUGGUUCAUGCAGAAAAUAGAAGACCUAUUUUAGCUAUCUUGAGUAGUUUUUAUUGCAUGCAUGAAAUGUCAUGAACUUUUUGACGCGAUGGCAAACAUUUGUGAUGAAUGCACCCGGUUACUCAGUUGGUCAUAGUUCUAAGUGGCUACUAGCGCUACUCAUAGCCUUUUAGAUUUGAAAUGUCACUAACCUUUUGACAUGAGAGCAAAUAUUUGUGAUGCACCCGAUUACUCAAUUAGUACUGCUUUCAAGUGAGUAGAGGAGUAGUUUAUUACUUGUGUUCUCUCUUUUGUUUUCUUUCUUCUUCUUUUUCUUUUUUUUUUCAAUAAAGUCCUAAGCAUGAACCAUAUAAUUUUAGACAUGCAAAUCUUGGAUAAGUUGUAGUAAAGUUCUGUCUAAGCAUUAGCAUUCACUCAAAGAUAAGAAAAAAUCAAUUUUGAAGAGGAAAUUUCAAACAAGCCAUGCUUGAAAUACAUAAUCAAAGAUAAUUAUUCAUAGUGUGAAAAGAUGAAAAACAAGCUACAAUUCCUAGGAGAUGGUUAUAAUUGAAAUUCAAAAUUUGAAAAAUCCCAUUUGAGUUAUUUUAAUUAAUGAAGAUAGUUUUAAAGGUUGGAGCCAAAAAUUGUUGGAAGUGUUUCUGUGGUGUGGUAAAAAUUAGGUAGGGUCAAGAUACCCAAAAUGAAAUGCUAGAAGAAGAAGAAAAAAGCUACACAAAAUGCAGAAUGCAUAAUGCCCUUCCCUUCACACUUAGUGUGUACAUUAUCCCCAAUGUGUGCAAAAUGUGAAAAUGAAAUAGUAAGGGAAAGAGAGGACUCCCCUAGUUUGGUGGCUGGAAGGUGGGACAUAUUGGAGGCCUCAGAUGUUGUAAAGCCAAGGAAGCUAAGGAGGUUUAGGCAUUGUUCGUGUUGUUUGGGCUAGUGACUAGGCUAACGCAUUAACUUUGCUAAUCAACAGCUUAGUCGAUUGCUCGAGGUAAUACAAGCGACCAUCAAUCAUCCGGACAUGCAGUAGUACAUGGUCCAUGAAUUCUUAGAAUUCAGUAAGCCUAACAGAAG